rnacentral:rRNA from 1 species
CCUACGGGUGGCAGCAGUGGGGAAUAUUGCACAAUGGGGGAAACCCUGAUGCAGCGACGCCGCGUGAGUGAAGAAGUAUUUCGGUACGUAAAGCUCUAUCAGCAGGGAAGAAAAUGACGGUACCUGACUAAGAAGCCCAGGCUAACUCCGGGCCAGCAGCCGCGGUCAUACGUAGGGGGCAAGCGUUAUCCGGAUUUACUGGGAGGAAAGGGAGCGGAGACGGCAGGGCAAGUCGGAAGUGAAAUCCCAUGGCUUAACCAGGGAACUGCUUUGGAAACUGUGCAGCUGGAGUGCAGGAGAGGGAAGCAGAAUUCCUGGUGUAGCGGUGAAAUGCGUAGAUAUUAGGAGGAACACCAGUGGCGAAGGCGGCUUACUGGACUGUAACUGACGUUGAGGCUCGAAAGCGUGGGGAGCAAACAGGAUUAGAUACCCGAGUAGUC